GUAGAGUUGUAGUUAAUCAAAAACAUCAAUUAUUAAAAAACCUAAUUUAACCCCCAAGGCAAAAGAGUAAGAACACUUAUUUCUCCGGUGUCUUGCACCUCUCUCCCGAAAAUCGCACACGUGAAAGUCAGAUUUAUAGCAUUUGAUUCGUACUCAUCAAAAUUGUGCUGGAGUUUGGACAUUUCAUAAGAAAAUGCCAAAAAAAUUAAAAGAAGAACUGCUUUCAAUAGCUAACUUCGGACGUUCGUCACUCUCACCUUCAUGUUUCGUGGACGGGGACCUAUCCAGGUUAGAGGAGGACCUCCAAAUGUUCUCUGGUUUCUUUUGACAUUUACAACGUAGGAUAAUGAACUGUAUCCAGUACUUCGACUUUACCAGGCCUCUUCGGGUUGACAGAAGUGGCCACCUGGUUUGCAGAUUUUAUUCUUGCGCUCCACCUUCGAUGAGAAUUAUUCUAAUAGAUUUGCCAGUGACAGUAAAUCUUAAAGAUAUUUUUUUUUAAAUCUCAGUGUGGCUCCCAGGUAGAUGAAGGAUGUUCUGGAAAAAUUGCCGCGUCAUUUUCAUCGUUCAUGGGAUUACUGUUCAGUCAACGAAGUAUUUCACAGUGUCUCAGCCAAACAUGAUAAAAUUUUGCUGAAAGAGUUGGCUCAUUUGCCUACUGACCCAGCCUUAUUGAGCUUUAUUGAGAAAAAUUCGGUCCAGUUAUACCAACAAGUCUAGCUAGCUUAAAAUUUAGCUUGGGUCAGUUCUACAGCAAUGUGCGAUCGACCUUAGGAGUACAAGAUAAUUAUCUCGUGAAUUUUUUCAUGAUUAGCUUGUUUUUGGGCGCAACAGAUGAAGAAGCGAAUUAGCCUGGAACGUGGUCGAUUCCGUAUAACACGUCAGCUUCUGUUUGUCAUCAUUGUUACCAGAAGACUUGACUGGUGUUUUCAAGCACAAAAUCAGAAGUGCAGUCGCGCAACAUUAACUUGUCAGUGACGUAUGGCGCGUUUCUGACCAGCCUUCUAAGUGAAUCCAGCCCGGAAGUUACAGCAGUUUUGCGGGACCACUCCACCUUCCCUAAUGAACGCUAGUAUAUAAAUUGUCACGUAUGGGUCCUCUUUCUCACUUGUACUCCCUCUUCUCAGCCCUUGAAGUUCUAAUACAGGGUUCACUUCAGAAGUUAUUUGUCCUGUAAAUAUUCUCCAUAAGACGCUCCUUACAACUGGUAACAGAGAAAAAGCCGCGCUUGGGUGAAACAAUAAUGAUAAUAAACGCAAAUGAAAUACA